rnacentral:rRNA from 1 species
AACGAACGCUGGCGGCAUGCCUAACACAUGCAAGUCGAACGAUGCCUUCGGGCAUAGUGGCGCACGGGUGCGUAACGCGUGGGAAUCUGCCUUUCGGUUCGGAAUAACUCAGGGAAACUUGAGCUAAUACCGGAUAACGUCGCAAGACCAAAGAUUUAUCACCGAAAGAUGAGCCCGCGUAGGAUUAGCUAGUUGGUGAGGUAAAGGCUCACCAAGGGGACGAUACUUAGCUGGUCUGAGAGGAUGAUCAGCCACACUUGGACUAAGACACGGCCCAGACUCCUACGGGAGGGAGGAGUGGGGAAUAUUGGACAAGGGGCGAAAGCAUGAUACAGCAAGGCCGGGUGAGUGAUGAAGGCCGUAGGGUUGUAAAGCUCUUUUACCCGGGAAGAUAAUGACGGUACCGGGAGAAUAAGCCCCGGCUAACUCCGUG